GAGGGUUGUACAGUCUGGGGCCGUCCUCUUUUCCCUGGCACACCGACCGCUGCUCGCGUUCAUUUAGUAAUAAGUGGAAAAAUGUCUCUGCUGCUACAGACAGCACUUGCAGAAAUUAAAAUAUGAGAUAUCUGAGGGGGGUGGAGCAUACAGUCAGCAAGAAUGCAGCUUGUCUCCUUUUUUGUGUCUUCUGAGUUCUUUUCCCUUCGUCUUCAUGCCCCGUUUUUCUCACACAUCCCAGCCCUGGGAAAAACCUGCUUUGUCCUGGUUCUGCAAUUGCUUGUUAGAAUACCGGGUGAAAACCAGAACUUAUUUGUCAUUAAGACUUUAGCUGACGCACUUUAGUUUGCUUUACCAGCCUUGAUUGCCAGACGGAGCAAGUCCUGUUUGGCUGGCAGUGCUGUGUUCCUCCCCAGCCCUACGUGAUACUAACCCCGGGUUCUGCAUACGUGCAUGUUACACAGUAUUGCUCAUGGCCCUUUUUCUCCAGAGCGUUUGUGGCUGCUCCUGAGUCACCGCAGCUCCCGUCCUGCCGUGCCUGCUCAGCGCCCUUCAAUGGAAGGCUUCAGAGGCUGUCAGCAGUGCUGAUGUUCUCACUGCUGCCAUAGGAGACAGCCUGGCGAGGGAAAAAAACCCUCAAACACCCCUAAUGAAGCCUAGGCCAGUUUCCCAGAGAAGCCGGGGAUUGUGGUUUUACGCCGCCCUGGAGAAAACGGACAUGUCUGCAUUUUUCAUUGGGAGAAUGUUUGGGAUUUUGACUUUGAAGCGCCUGUGGGUUAUUUAUGUAUGCCUAUUACACUAUAUCUGAAGUUUCAAUUUCCCAGAAAACCACUUAUCAAGCCUGCAGGUCAUAUUCUUCUGAUGUGGAAAGCUAAAUUGUCAUGGGAUUGGGAAGAUAAAUUAGGGAAGAGGAUGGGCAACAGGGCUGGUAAAUCACUGGCCAGCUGUGUAACCGCAGUCCUGUCCCGCAGUCUGGGGGCUAAGUCAGGCAGAACUCCGGUCUCCUGAAUUUCACCCCACUCUGAAGAAAUACAGCUCUGUUAUCUGUGGCUUAUCUCGGCUUUAGCGUGUAGAAUUGAGAAGGUGUUUUAAGUUGGUCCUUUAUCCUGAACUCUUGGCUUCUACAUAGUAAUAAGCAAGAGUCGUUUUCCACUUGUGACAGGCCAUCAAGGGGGGUUUUUAACCUCUGAUGUUAGACAUGGACCUAUUUCACAGAAAACCAUGGGAUAGACUGUUCUUUUAUUCAGAGCAGAAAGAACUGAGGUGAGUAGAUGAUUGCUUCAGUAUCCACUAAAGAUUGUGAGAGGCUUUGUAUCCAAUUCCUUCAGUGCAGGACCAAGUUGUACACCAGCCAGAACUUUGCCCACGUCCUGUGGCUGUCACAAGGACCGUGUUCCUUCUCAGGACACCGGACAGGACAAUGGUACCAUCUCCAGCCCUGCUUCCCACCUAUCUUUUUGGAAGGGCAGCCAGAACGGGUGUCUGGUCAUCUCAAACCAGCCAAGUCACAUACUUGCUGCAUGCCUUGGUCCAAGAAAUCCUGGGAAUUCUCUAUAGUGGAAAUCAGGAGUUAAUAUUGGAAUGAUCUGUUGAUUCUUUCCGUGCAGAUCAUGCUUCCUAUUUCACUCCACACGGUGUGACCAUGUGUUUAUUUUUGUUUAGUAUCUUGUGUGGUCUUUCUUCACUUGUGCAAUACCGAUGGUUCUGUUGAUACCUCCUGUAAAGGGCAACGUUGUUGGGUCCUACGCGUGGUGUGGAGAUAUGCCAUUUCACAAGAAUGUGGAUUCCUUUGGAGAGCUGUGGAAGAGUAUGGCAAAGUGGCAUUGUUGAUUUCCAGACAGAGCUUGGAAAAUACCGGAAAACACAACUGAGAACCUUUUCUUCUUGCAAGGAUGACAUACGGGUCUGUGCAUUCCACCACUUUGAAUGGUGUACUUACUAUAUUCAGAGUUUUCCCAGUGUCAUGAUUUAGUCAACUAUUUAGUAUAAAACCUAACUGAUCAGUUGGAAUUGCUGCUAACAAAAUCAGAUACCUAGAAGCUGAACUGUCAGCCAGCAAGAUGAGAAGGAGACAGCCUCCAAGCGUUGUAGAAAGACCUUGUGUAGCUACAAAGCCACCUGUGCAUGCUACAGGAUCAGAUAAAUGUUUUUCCCAACAGAAGCAUUAGAAACAGGUUUGUGUGCUUUUCCAUGCCAAAACAGCAUUUGCUUGUCACACAGUGACUAAAUGGCUGCUGCGUUUCAAGAGUUCCUCUGAUGGGCUCAGUCCUGGAGGUAUGAAGGGGAUGGAGAUGGUGGUGUGGCCAGGGCAUCUCAUGUGACGUUUCAGUACGGUACGGAAUUCAGCAGGGGCAGCUUUGCCUUUCCUCCUAACACAGGUAAUGGCAUUGCUACACCUCCCAUUGCAGGUAUUGUGAUAGAAGUCAUGUGAACAAAGGUCCUUCUUUUCUUUAAACCUAUCUACCUUUAAUAUUUUUUAACUUUCGACUACUUUCAGCCCCAUAUGGCAGAUGAGAUAGAGGUGUUAGUAGCUCCUGCAGUGUUGAUGCUAAUGUUUGAUCCCACCCCUAUUGCAUAUCUGUUAGUUUAUAUUCAAGCAAGAAAGCAGCCUCUGGACAGGAAAAUGCAGGUGGGGUGUCCUACAUCCAGUCCAGACCAAACUGCAUCCAGUUCAGCUCCCUGCACCCGAUACACUCCUCCUGUACGUGCCGGCAGGACUUCAGCUCACCCGUGUCCCGCUGCUGCCCCGUCCCAAUGGCCUGGCUCACACACCACACCCUUGGCAUCACGAUGUCACAGGAACUAAGGGAAGAGGGCACACUUGAGGGACGCGUGGAGACCAAGGCCUUGUGUUUCAUUUCAAGAGACCUAAGAGUCACAGCUUUGCUGCUCCGAUACUCUCUUGGCAGCAGUGUAAGGAUUGAGCAAUACUGCUUUACAUUUUUAAAACGAGAGGCCAUGUGAAAGCCAGCUUUGGUGCUGCUCAGUGCAAGUAUCUGGGCUGUGAUCUCAGACCUACGCGAGGGGCUGGGGAGGAGAUCCCUGUUUGGUCUCCAAAUGCACAAUGUGCAGAGACAGUGCCCGCUGUGUCAGAGACCACAGGGAGGGAAUCCCGUCAGUGGGGUUGCCCUCAUGACCAGAAAAACUUGCCCAAAGAUUUUCAUCAGGUGUGCCAAACCCCCAGACUUUGCAGAUCCCUGUGGAGUGGUGUUCCUGGAGAUGACGCAGGCUAACGCAACGUGCAGCCCAUCCCAACCUCCUGCGUGGCAGCAGGAUGCUGGCAUCUCACCGCUCCCUGAGGUCUUCUCUGUGCUGCUUGCUUUGUUCCUGCAGCACAAUUUGAGGGACACGCAUCUCAUUCCUAAAGCUCCUGACAGGGGUAAGUGCCUCGACCCUGCAGCUUACCAUGGGAGAUGAUACACACUUUGGUCUUGCAGCUCACUGUUGGAGAGAGUCACCUGUGUCCGCAGCUUGUCCUUGGAGAGGAGACAUGCUUGGUCCCACAGGUGUUCACUCUGCAGGAGCCACAGUAACAAGGAGAAGGGACUGUGUGGGCCCUGUUUGAGAUAACAUGUGAAGUGGCACCAUGGAAGCUCUUCUAGAAGAAGAGUACCCUGACUCAUCCACAGUAGACAGUGCAUGCUGUACUGAUAGGAUCUGCAUUGCAGACUGAGCCCGUGUAGCUGGUUAAGGUACCCGUGACUCUGCAGUGGUUGCCAGCCUCCCAUUGCUGAUUCUCUAGUCUGUUCAGAUGGGAGAUGGGGAACCAGUGAGUGGUGUGCCAGAGUUAAAGGGCUGGCAGGCAGUCUUGUAAAGACCUCAUCAGUCUGAACCCACCUGUGACUGCUGCCUCCCUGGUCCAAAGUCUUCUCUCCAUGAGGGGAAGAAGGGAUGGUGGAUGAGGUCAAUGCCUGGAAGGGUGUAGAUGCGUAGGCACGGGUCUGUUGCAAAACAGCCAUGAAGGGCUGUGGAACGUGGCCCGAGCUCGUGAGUACACUGGCACGGGAGGCUGAGGAGGCCUGGGGAGGUGGGAAGUGCGUCUUCUCCAGGGCUGAAAAUCAUCUGCUCCAGAGGCCCCUUGCUGUGAGCAGCUGGGAAGCGAGGCAGUUUGCACUGUUUGACCCUGGGCCCAAGGUCCAAGUGAAUAUAAAUGUACCCAGAGUCACUAUGGGUGGAGUUCAUCUAAGAUUAGGUGCUUAUAACACAAGCAUCUGUUUUUAUAGCUCUUUUUAUAGUGAGUGGAGUGCUAGUAACUACAAACCACGGGGUUCGGUCAUGUUUAAUUUUUCUCUGAUGUGGGAUGAAUUGCACUCUGAGCUCUGUUGACUCCAUCUCCUGUCCCGAUAACGGGUGCCUGGGCAACUGCCACAGGUGGGUGAAUCUACAAAGCAGGUGAAGUGAGGUGAGGUGGGUCCACCUGUGAGUGCCUGCAAGGCUAACGAGAACAUCAGCUGGGCAAUGAAGAGUUUGAUGGAGGGACCAUCCGAGGGGGCUCGGGGCUGCCUGUUUGCUGUCUGCUGUUCAUGUGGAUGGCUGCGACGUGGACACAGCACAGACUGCCCUUUGCUGCCAAGGGACUUGGAUAAGAACUGUGGGGACAGAGGAAAUACUGUGAUGGGAAGAAGGUGAGGAAGCCUGAGGAUCUUGAAAGGGCACAAAGGAGUGUAGCUGUUGAGACGGGGCACGUAGAGGAUCAUUUCAGAACCUGUAGGGAACCAGGCUUCCCAGAGCAGCUGUCCUGGGUAAGAGCUUGGUUGCCUUUAUCCUGUCAGAAGCUUCCAUUUUCCCCGUUCCCCCUGGAUGUGGUGGGCAGUGUGGCAGCUGACUCUCACCAUCUCUUGGAGGUUUGCUCUGCUGAGGGGCAGCAGCUCUGUUCUGCGGGGUUUUCAGAAAUGUACUUGACCACCACAAAUCUCUUCUCAAGCUCCUGUCUUUUUGGUUGUAGCCUUAAGCCUUUGGUUGUAGCUGUCUGUCUUUUUGGGUGUAGCCUUAAGACUGGGGUCAAAGGCUUUGUGAUCCCUGCAGUUUGCAGAGCUAAUUCAGAAAUGUAGCUUGUAUUUAAAAAUAAUUUUAAAAAGUCAGGAGAAGGCUUGUGUAUGACUAGCCUUGUUCUCCCAGGAGAGAAUUGACAUUCAUUUCUCAUUACUUCCAGAAAUGUUUGGGUUUGUGAAAUGCUUUUUUCUUUCACUUUCAACAUUUUUGUAGUAUUUUCCUAUUGCUGAGUUAACUUGAGGUGGGUUUUGCAGUUAAGCUCUAUUUCUACACCAAGAGGAAUGCCUGAAGCUUGACUGACGCCUUUGUUUCCAGCGUGAACUUCCAUGAAGCCUUUUCACAGAUGCUGUUGAAAACUGUCUGGGUUGCAGUAGUGGCAGGAAAAAAUGAUUCUUGCAAAAUACUAUUUCAUCUGCCUUUGUUUAGGGACUGCAAAUGCAGAUAUCGGGCAGAAAGAAAGGGUGUGAUGCUGCAGUUGAUGCUGUUUGAGCAGGGACUGAAAGGCAGAGUGUGAAAGAGAGAUCUCCACCAGAAGAAAGCUUGCAUCCAGUUGUUUGUUGGUUUCGUAGAAGCACUCCUGAAGACCAUGUUCAUUUAUUUGAUGGCACCAGUUGUAAAAGAAACAUCGAUGUUGUAACCUCUGUGUGUGCACAUGUGUUUGUUUUGCAGCUGGAACAGUUUUAACUAUCAGAAAACAGCUCCAUCCCGUCCAGCGCGGCCAGGAUCACGCGCUUACCGGGAACCGUCCUCAGAGCCCUUCCAAAAAAGGACAUUUCCAGCACCAAUGUGAGCGUGGGUGGAAGAGAAAGCAGUGAGUGAGGGUCGGGGGAUUCUUGUGCCCACAAAAGGCUUUGUCAGAUAAGGUGGGUCACACUUGCCACACUUUAUUCUGCUUGUGUAUUCAGCCUUCUUUGGCAUGAACCUGGAUGUGGUGGAUGCCAUCCUCAUGGGUCCUCUUCAUCGUCCGUGAGCACUGGCUGGGACCAGUGCUGGAACAUGAGUAUAGACAAAAGGAGGAAGCCCUUUGGUUUCCUUUGUGUUAAUCUCAAAUCCAGCUCAACCUCAUGAGAGUGUACAGUAUAAGCUGUAAUGUAUAGUUCUCAGGAGCAGGUAACGUCCCUAACAGUUCUCCAGAAGGCUUUGCCUGCUCCUUGGUCAGGCAAAGGGCUUCAGGUUGACAGGACUUCUUGCUUCUGGAGAAGUCCUGGGAAUUCCUAAAGCUGGUGUAAUAGCCCCUUCUCCUCCACCCUGGUAUUUUCUGCUGUAUGUGAGCUGUGCUGUCACAUAUCCUCAGUCUGCCACAGUUUGGAUCUGUUUCCUUACAUGCAGUGAAUUAAAGGCUCAGGUUUCAUGUAGGAGCACCUAGAGGUGUUGUGAACGCUUGCAAUUGUAAUGAAAUCCGUGGUACACCAUCCUGGUCAGCAGACCUAUGGAAGGCAAAGCUGAGAUACCAAUGAAUGUAUAUUAAAAAUAAGACAACGUCUGGAAAGCAGCUGUUAAAUUAAAGAAACACAGCGUAGCAGCCCAUGCUGAAGGAAGGUUUAUGAGUCUGAAUUAGGAUGAGACAGAUGAUAGAGCAAAGCCAUGUUUUUUAGGAGCAGAGCUGUGUGUGGCCGUCCCUGCACAGACCCCCCUCCCCUCUUUGGGAUGACUAUUAAUAGCACGGGGCCUGGCCAAGCCAAACUCAAAUGGUGUGUGGGUCUGUUUGGGUACUGCAGGGCUAUUUGGCAACUCCGGGUGAAUGCCCUUAAAUAAUCCUCCUGGCACUGGGUGUUGGAGAGCUCGAGGCUUUAGAAACUUUUGGGUCAAAUUUACUGUUGUUAAAUAAACAAUGAGUAUUGAUUAGAUCAUAUGACAGACCAACCGAGCACGCUUUCAAAUACCGCGGCUCAUUGGAGUUCAUGUUUAUGUAUUUAUGUACUCGGAAUCCCUUGAAAUAGUUGCUUUGGUGAAAGGAAUAUUAAGCCUUUUACUCAUGAAACUCUAUCUAGUCUUAUAUGUGUGGCCCUGUGCACACGGGUAGGAGGAUUUUUGAGGCUGCUUAAAGGAUUUGGAUGCUCACCCUGUUUGGUUUAGUUGCAGGCUUGAAUCCCUUAGGCAGAUUUGAAAAUCUCAGCCAUAAUGCGCUGCUUAUUUUAGUCCAUCGGGGCAAGACCUUUUCACUGUUAAAAUAAUUUCUGAGUACUCUUUUCUUUCUGCCAUAAAAUAAAAAUGUGUUUAAGUGGA